UAAAAACCUUGCUAUCAGCUCAUGCCCACAUGACAAAUCAGAUUUUUCUCUGUAGAUACUUUGACCUGCAAGUUACCAAGGAUGUUGCAGAGCAAACAGUCUGAUCUGUACAUUAAUCCAGAGAACAUGACUUGGAUCUCUCUCCAGGGAGCCUUCUCUCCACGGCCAUCCAACUCCUCUGAAGAAAUAUGGACUCCUCUGAACCCAUCUUGGCUGUAAAUCUGCAAUUAAGAGAACGGUCCAUUUACUUCUCUGCGAUGCCAAGGCGUUGCUGACUCGUGGCUCCAUCAGGCUGGCUCCUCCAGCCAACAAGCCCUUUCCCCACCUGCCCUGCUGCAGCCCCCCAGCCUUCUACCCCCACCCAGAGCAGAAAGAUGCUUUCACAGGGGAGCUGCGUUACCCCAGGUCGACUUUUACUUUUCUCCCACUUCUCAGAGAUGCAUCGAUGGGACAGAUCUAAGCCUGGGUUUUGGCCAAAUGAACUGCUCCCCCUCCCAGCACAGCCCGUGCUGCCCUCCCUGCCCCCAUCACUGUUUUCCUUUUUCCUCCCCUGAGGUUUGAUUCUCUCGUGCCCUCAAGGCAGAGCUAUUUUUGCAUUGGACCUUCAGGGCUAGCUUUUUUUACGUGACAUUAUGUGAUUAAUUUCCCGCUGAGAUGGCAGGAAUAGAACAGUGACAUGACAAUCUGUUUAAAUUCCCUUUUCUAUCUUCUUUUCCCCUCUUUCUUUUAUUGUUUCCUGGCUUAUGCUAAGCCUCAAGGAACUGCUGUCUAGUAACCCUCCACCAUCUGCUGUGCUGCUAGCAGAGAGGAGCUAUGGCCAGAGCCGUUAUUUCUUCCUUCUUUUUGCCUUUCCCCUCUGCCAGGAUUUUGCAUGGUCACAGCUCCCUUUGGGCAUAUUCUGCCUGCACCAAUUUAAGGGCCACAAAGGCCUGGGUUGCUAAAGUGCAGAAAUACUAACAUCAAACUAUUCAGAACCCAGCAUUAUCCUGGUGUAUAGAGAAAUAUAGGAGUGCAUGCAGGUAGCACUCUGUACACCUAACUCCUCCUGCAGCCACGUACAAGAGCAAGUAAACAUCUGAGCACAUGUGUUUGGAGGUGGAGAGAGGCAGAAGGAAGGGAAAGAAGAAAUACAAACUGCCCAACUCCCUUGCACAGUUCCUGGAGCAACCCUGAACCGGAGCCCUGAUAACCAGCGUAUCCGGAUCCAGAAUCAAUACAGAACUUGCCUGCACAGAGACAGGAGGAGUUCAAACACAUGCAGAAAUGCUGUCCUGAAGAACGCUGCGUUGCUGGGCGGGCAGUGGAAAGACAGAAGCAGCUAUGUUACAUGACACAGAACCUCAUUAAAGAGUAUCUUCAUCCAGGCUUUUCCUUCAUUGUGAUUUCGAUUACCCCAUUUAGUACCAUCAAAACUAACGGGUAUUGCAGGUCAUUAACACCUGCAGGCUUUCAUGGAGAGAGGCUUUCCAAGUGAACAGGAGGGACGCACGGGCUCAGACAGCGAUCCCAACCCAGACACACAGAGGACACACUCCUGAUGAGACCCUCCAGCCUUGGUCAUGACCAUAGGAUAUUUUUUGCCUCCAUAGGAUCACAAGGAAUCUUUCCCUCCUGUCACACACACCUGGCUAUGUGCAUGAAGCACUCCUGUUUCCCACUCAGACAGCAACUCACCACAAAGCCCUCUACAUACAAACACUAUGAAAAAUAGUAACUCUGGGUGAGGGGCCGUGCACUGUGCAUCACGCUGCAAGAAUAACCCUGAGCAAAAGCCCAACAUACGACUCCAUAGUGGCAGCAGCAAGAUGGGUACCAUCACAAGCCUGGGCAUGGGA